rnacentral:rRNA from 1 species
UGGGGAAUUUUGGACAAUGGGGGCAACCCUGAUCCAGCAAUGCCGCGUGUGUGAAGAAGGCCUUCGGGUUGUAAAGCACUUUUGUCCGGAAAGAAAACGCCGUGGUUAAUACCCGUGGCGGAUGACGGUACCGGAAGAAUAAGCACCGGCUAACUACGUGCCAGCAGCCGCGGUAAUACGUAGGGUGCAAGCGUUAAUCGGAAUUACUGGGCGUAAAGCGUGCGCAGGCGGUCCGCUAAGACAGAUGUGAAAUCCCCGGGCUUAACCUGGGAACUGCAUUUGUGACUGGCGGGCUAGAGUAUGGCAGAGGGGGUAGAAUUACCACGUGUAGCAGUGAAAUGCGUAAGAGAUGUGGAGGAAUACCGAUGGCGAAGGCAGCCCCCUGGG